rnacentral:tRNA from 1 species
GGUAAAGUAAGCUAAGUUAUAAGCUAUCGGGUUCAUACCCCGAAAAUGGGUGAAGGCCCCUUUAUCA